rnacentral:rRNA from 1 species
AGUGAACGCUGGCGGUAGGCCUAACACAUGCAAGUCGAACGGCAGCACAGUAAGAGCUUGCUCUUACGGGUGGCGAGUGGCGGACGGGUGAGGAAUACAUCGGAAUCUACUUUUUCGUGGGGGAUAACGUAGGGAAACUUACGCUAAUACCGCAUACGACCUACGGGUGAAAGCAGGGGAUCUUCGGACCUUGCGCGAUUGAAUGAGCCGAUGUCGGAUUAGCUAGUUGGCGGGGUAAAGGCCCACCAAGGCGACGAUCCGUAGCUGGUCUGAGAGGAUGAUCAGCCACACUGGAACUGAGAAACGGUCCAGACUCCUACGGUAGGCAGCAGUGGGGAAUAUUGGACGAUGGGCGCAAGCCUGAUCCAGCCAUACCGCGUGGGUGAAGAAGGCCUUCGGGUUGUAAAGCCCUGUUGUUGGGAAAGAAAAGCAGCAGGUUAAUACCCCGCUGUUCUGACGGUACCCAAAGAAUAAGCACCGGCUAACUUCGUG